AUGUUUUCUUUUCCCAGGUACGUCAUCAUCCUCCGUCAACGUAUUGUUAUGGAUAACCCGAUAAAUGUACCCAUAAACAUUGCCCUUAGACUUAAUAGUGAUGAGUCUUCACCAUCUACUAGAGUUGAGAACCCAAAACUUUUGGAUAUUUUCUACGAGGUGGAUUUUCCCAUUCCUGGCCAGAAUGUGCCCAAUGGUGGCUCUAGGCUAGGGUUGGAUUGA